UUUAAACGCAGCCAUGAUUUUUCAUGUUUAACUUUAAUUGUCCGUCUUAUUUGAAAUUUCUUUUAUGCUUAGUAUUUUUAUUUUUGUUAGAUGAGAAAACACUAAUAGUAUUUUACGCGUGACUUAUGUUUUUUAAUUUUUUUAAAGUAUUUUCAGAUAAGACGGACGAUUAAAAUUGGACACGAAAACUCAUAGUUGCACUUAAA
rfam:Oryza meridionalis cultivar OR44 (W2112) chromosome 9, whole genome shotgun sequence.